rnacentral:lncRNA from 1 species
CUCUGACCUUUUCUAACUCACACGUUUUUCUGCUUUGGGGGAUUGAACUACUCCUGGCUCCACCUCUCUGGUAUUUAAAUAAAGUCUGCAUAAAAUACUAAACUCACUUAUCUUCCAGGCUUUGCUCAGUCUCCAUAGCAACCUCCCUAGAAACAGACUUCUUUAAAAAGGAAUCUCAAAAAAGUUGGGAUCAUAUAGGACUGUGUUCUUUACAAUUGUACUGAAAAUUGGAAAAAAUAAAACCAGCUGUCUCAUCACAACCUCCGCUGACUUCGCUCUCGUUCCAUAACGCUCUGGCCUGGUCAUCCGCUUCCGCUCUGCCCGGACCGUCCAGUCUCCACGUUGCAGUUGGAACCAUCUCCAAACGCAAGUAAAGGUGGACAUCAGGAAGUUGUCUCUCUCCAUUCCUCAACUCUACUUCUCUCACAGUUAUCAGAGAGCUACCAAGACACAAGUCUUGUGAGACUGGAGAUCUGGAGAAAAAUAAAACCCAGAGAGGUGAUCACAACAGUCCCCACUGCUUUUACCCCGCCAGGCAUUGGCUGAGUCAGAGGCGGCUGCCGAGCGGCUGAGAAAUCAGGGCUGUGAAGAUGAGAAACCAAGCCGAGAUUCCAGCGGUCUCACAUGCUGAGGGAACAAACAUUGAUGCAAGCAUUUAAUCCUGAUUAUGUCAAGCUCCAAGACAUCUACUUGCCAAGCGAAGAGCUGGAAAAAAUUUAAAACUAGUGGAUUGGAUGAGUAUUAUUCCUUCGUUUCAGUUUAUGAAUUUCAAGUGUCACUCUCUUAAUCAAGCUAGAGGUGCUUUUCCAUAUCCAUAAGUGAUAAUAACUACUGAAGUAGGUUAAUGCUGAUUUUGGCAAAACUAGAUUGAUAACGGACAGAAUAUUUGACUCUAAGUUUUUAAAAAUUACUGUGUCACAGCCUUGGGAAUCUGGUGUCUAUUUGGUGUGUAUUUGGGUACAAGGUAUUGAGUAAAUUGAUAAGUGAAAUUUCUCAAUACCAAUGACG